GGCACGGAUACUGCAUAUGCUAGGGCGGAGCUUCGGGCAACGUCAUGUCCGGGGGAGUCGACACAGCAGUCGACGUCACGCUUU
rnacentral:sRNA from 1 species